rnacentral:misc_RNA from 1 species
GAUGAAGAACGUAGCGAAAUGCGAUAAGUAGUGUGAAUUGCAGAAUUCAGUGAAUCAUCGAAUCUUUGAACGCACAUUGCGCCCCUUGGUAUUCCAUGGGGCAUGCCUGUUCGAGCGUCAUUUGCACCUUCAAGCUUUGCUUGGUGUUGGGUGUUUGUCUCGCCUUUGCGUGUAGACUCGCCUUAAAAUAAUUGGCAGCCGGCGUAUUGAUUUCGGAGCGCAGUACAUCUCGCGCUUUGCACUCAUAACGACAGCGUCCAAAAGUACAUUUUACACUCUUGACCUCGGAUCAGGUAGGGAUACCCGCUGAACUUAAGCAUAUCAAUAAGCGGAGGA